rnacentral:rRNA from 1 species
AACGCGAAGAACCUUACCUGGGCUCGAAAUGUAGAGGGCGGCAUCAGAGAUGAUGUCUCUCGAAAGGGUCUCUGCAUAGGUGCUGCAUGGCUGUCGUCAGCUCGUGCCGUGAGGUGUUUGGUUAAGUCCAGCAACGAGCGCAACCCUUAUCGUUAGUUGCCAACGCGUCAAGGCGGGAACUCUAACGAGACUGCCUGGGUUAACCAGGAGGAAGGUGAGGAUGACGUCAAGUCCGCAUGGCCUUUAUGUCCAGGGCUACACACGUGCUACAAUGGUCGGUACAGAAGGCAGCAAGACCGUAAGGUGGAGCAAAUCCUACAAAGCCGAUCUCAGUUCAGAUUGUAGACUGCAACUCGUCUACAUGAAGUUGGAAUUGCUAGUAAUGGCGUGUCAGCAACAACGCCGUGAAUACGUUCCCGGGCCUUGUACACACCGACGCGUA